UAGGGAAUCUUCCACAAUGGACGAAAGUCUGAUGGAGCAAUGCCGCGUGAGUGAAGAAGGUUUUCGGAUCGUAAAACUCUGUUGUUGAAGAAGAACAUGCGUGAGAGUAACUGUUCACGUACUGACGGUAUUCAACCAGAAAGCCACGGCUAACUACGUG
rnacentral:rRNA from 2 species